AGCAUGAUAUAUUAAAUGAGUAAUCUAUUUUGAAACGUAAUUUGAGCGAUAUAUCUACAUAGAUAAAACUCCUUUUGCCUAUCAAAUAUUUAUUGCAACGAAAAAACGUACAUUGAUACGUAUCAGGAGGAAUUUAUUUAUGAAUAACGGUACAGUAAAAUGGUUCAACGCAGACAAAGGUUUUGGCUUUAUCACUGGUGAAGAUGGAAAUGAUGUAUUUGCACAUUUUUCAGCUAUCCAAGGUGACGGCUUCAAAACUUUAGAAGAAGGCCAAGCAGUGUCUUACGAUGUUGAAGAUGGUCAACGUGGCCCUCAAGCAACAAACAUUGUUAAAGCUUAAUAAAAAUUGACUUUUAACCGUCUUUUCGAAAGAAAAGACGGUUUUU
rnacentral:sRNA from 2 species